rnacentral:lncRNA from 1 species
GGCAGAUGAAAAAACAGAAUGGCAGAGAGAAAGGUGAAGGGAUAAAGUUCUUUCCAACACUGCGAUCGCAUGGUGCUACAGUGAAUAAGGGGCUCAUGUGGAGAGAAGGAGAGCUUUUCUGGAUUUUGAAGAACUACAUUCCCCAAGAUGAAUAUCAGACCACACGCAAUUCCAUGGAACAAAAUUUUAUCAUAAAGGGAACACAGGCUCUUGUGAAAUCAGCUAAAAUCUUGUGGAGUUUUAAAUUGCUGAAAACAAAACUUAAGGCAGCAAGUUAAGGACUGCGAGG